UGGAGUUUCUGCAUCCUAUAUAUGGGCUUGACUAUAUUCUAUGUUACAUGGACUCUUCAAAAUAGAUGAAGUACCUGUAUUGGACACUUGACACUCGUAUAAGAGAGUGAGAUAUGUGUUUGAUAUGUCCCAUUAGAUAUGCUCUUAACAAAAAUCUUAGUAGAAACAAAUCAAUUGUUACCAAUAAUGUGAUCUAUAAAAAUGUUUAAAUCCUACCAGGUAUUUCUAUGCGGAGAUUCACUGUUUAACAAACAUUAACAAUAAACUUCAGCAUACUAAUGGAAGCAUACCAUUGCAAGGUGAUGGUGUCACAAACUCACUUUUUUAUUUGGACGCGGAUGGCCUUGGCCAAGGAAAAUACAAAAUGAGAGCAGGUUGGAAACUGCAUUUAUACAUAUCACAGCUACCAUGUGGGGAUGCCUCAGUCAAUUCAUUGUUGUCUCCUUUGCAAACUAUUCCCUUCAAAGAAGGUGCUCACCAUCCGAAUUGAGUAAAUUUGAUAGGUCAGAUGCUUCUAUGAGGAAAAAUGGUAAUGGUGGACUGGACGACCAAUUCUUUGUUCGCCAUGCUUAUUCAUGACUCACUAAGAUCUUGCUUCUUGUGUGGAUUACUAAUUGUUGCUUCAUUUAAAAUGAUUCUUUUAAUGGACACUUGUUGGCUUGUUGCUAGAAUGAGAGAUAAAUAUGUGCAGAUCUAUGUUAGUCAUGUUUUAUUACCUUUUGUAAGGAAUACAUGUUUUUUGGAUAUUGAUUACCAGUUCAAGGUUUCUAAAUGAUGAAAAACACCAAGUAAUUCAUCAUUUGCUUAUAUGGAUAUAUUGUUAAAUCAUGUUUUAGGUGAUUGUGCAAAGGGUGUUGGCAUGGUUCAGAGGAAGCCUGGUCGUGGGGAUACGACUCUUUCAGUGAGUUGCUCUGAUAAGAUUGCCCGUUGGAAUGUUGUUGGAGUACAAGGUUCAUUACUUGUUUUGGUGCUUUGCUUUCUUACUUUCUUCAACCAGUUUACCUUUCUACCAUAACUGUCGGGCAAAUCCAUAAUACAUCUGAAAAUAUUCCCGUAGUAGAUCACUUGACAAGAGCUUUAUAUGAGCGGAUCCUCCCUUUAUCAAAUAAGAUAACGAGUCCUUUUGAAGUGAACAAGCCGCUAUUUUAUGAGGCUCCAAUACCACCAAAGGAGUUUCAGCAUUCUGAGACUGCUACGGCCACUUUAACAUGUGGGUAAGUUUGCUUCAUUUCACCAGAUCAAGGU